GUAGGUGGCAAGCGUUGUCCGGAAUUAUUGGGCGUAAAGCGCGCGCAGGCGGUUCUUUAAGUCUGAUGUGAAGGCCCACGGCUCAACCGUGGAGGGUCAUUGGAAACUGGAGAACUUGAGUACAGAAGAGGAAAGCGGAAUUCCACGUGUAGCGGUGAAAUGCGUAGAGAUGUGGAGGAACACCAGUGGCGAAGGCGGCUUUCUGGUCUGUAACUGACGCUGAGGCGCGAAAGCGUGGGGAGCAAACAGGGAUUAGAUACCCUGGUAGUCCACGCCGUAAACGAUGAGUGCUAAGUGUAGGGGGUUUCCGCCCCCUUAGUGCUGCAGCUAACGCAUUAAGCACUCCGCCUGGGGAGUACGGCCGCAAGGCUG
rnacentral:rRNA from 1 species